rnacentral:rRNA from 1 species
CGUAGGUGGCAAGCGUUGUCCGGAUUUAUUGGGUUUAAAGGGUGCGUAGGCGGCUUUGUAAGUCAGUGGUGAAAUACUCCAGCUCAACUGGAGAGGUGCCAUUGAUACUGCAGAGCUAGAGUACUGAUGAGGUAGGCGGAAUGGACGGUGUAGCGGUGAAAUGCUUAGAUAUCGUCCAGAACACCGAUAGCGAAGGCAGCUUACUAAAGAGUAACUGACGCUGAGGCACGAAAGUGUGGGGAUCAAACAGGAUUAGAUACCCUGGUAGUCCACACUGUAAACGUUGAUCACUAGAUGUUGGCGAUACACUGCCAGCGCUCCAGCAAAAGCGAUAAGUGAUCCACCUGGGGAGUACGCCCGCAAGGGUG